rnacentral:sRNA from 5 species
UGUAUCUGAAGCCUGAAGAGGAUGAGAACCUCCGGGGGCAAGAGGUUCGACCCGAGCGAAGCGAGAGAACGUUGCGUCAGCAACGGCCCGCAGGGCGAGCCAUCCUCUAUCACCGGCAG